rnacentral:rRNA from 1 species
AGUGAACGCUGGCGGUAGGCCUAACACAUGCAAGUCGGACGGCGGCACAGUAAGAGCUUGCUCUUACGGGUGGCGAGUGGCGGACGGGUGAGGAAUACAUCGGAAUCUACUUUUUCGUGGGGGAUAACGUAGGGAAACUUACGCUAAUACCGCAUACGACCUACGGGUGAAAGCAGGGGAUCUUCGGACCUUGCGCGAUUGAAUGAGCCGAUGUCGGAUUAGCUAGUUGGCGGGGUAAAGGCCCACCAAGGCGACGAUCCGUAGCUGGUCUGAGAGGAUGAUCAGCCACACUGGAACUGAGACACGGUCCAGACUCCUACGGGAGGCAGCAGUGGGGAAUAUUGGACAAUGGGCGCAAGCCUGAUCCAGCCAUACCGCGUGGGUGAAGAAGGCCUUCGGGUUGUAAAGCCCUUUUGUUGGGAAAGAAAAGCAGCAGGUUAAUACCCCGCUGUUCUGACGGUACCCAAAGAAUAAGCACCGGCUAACUUCGUG